CGGGGUGUAGCUCAGUCAGGUAGAGUGCUGUGUUCGGGACGCAGAAGUCGGAGGUUCGAAUCCUUUCACCCCGACCA
rnacentral:tRNA from 1 species